rnacentral:lncRNA from 1 species
AUGGGAUACUGGGGAGAAGUUCCUCCAUGCAUAUGUCCUGGCCCCAGCAUCCCUAUGUACAUGUUGCUUGCCCCACUUCCUAAACCCAUUUCCCCAUGUCCCAUUCCAACUCAUCCAUGGCCCCUAUUUCGUCCCCCAUCCCGGUCACCCAGCAAGUCCCUGCCCCAUGUCUAUCCUGGUUCCUCAUGUCCCUGUCCCACCAUACACCUGUGCCGGUCCCCCCGGAACCCCGUCCCAGCACCCCCGCGACCCUGGCCCCGCUCUCCCCCGUCCCAGUCCCGGUCCCGCACGUGCGUGUCCGUGUCCUCCGUGCACGUCUCUCCACUCUUCCGUCCCGGGCCAGCACCCCCGUGUCCCUGCCCCGUCCCGCUGCCGCCGCCCGCGCACUCACCGUGCUGUGCCGACCCCUCGGCGCUGCGCAUCGAAGGCUCGGUUCCGGCGGCGCUGCGAGGACCCCAGACGGGGGCGGGGGCGGGGGCGGGCCCCGCUCCGGGCUCGGCCGCGCCGUUCCCGUUGCUCCCGUUAUUCCCGGUGCUCCCGGUGUUCCCGUUCCUGGCGGCGGCCCUGCCGGCCGGGCCCUGCCGCUCCAGCCGGUGCCGGCUGAUCUUGUCCCCGGCGCGGCGGCGCAGCCCCCGCCAGCGGUUCUUCACCUCGCCGAUGUCGCGCUGGUGGCGGCCGGCGGCGUUCACCUUGUGCGUGAUCCGCCACCAGAUCUUCUGCUUCUCGUACGCGUUCACGGUACCGGCGGCGGCGCCGAACAGCAGCGGCUCGUAUCGGAGCACUUCGCUCAUCAGCACCUCCAGCUCCUGCAGCGUGAAGUUCGGCUUCCGCUUCAGCAGUCCCCGCCGCGCCCCGCCGCCGCCCGCCGCCGCCAUGCUCCCCGCCGCCUCCGCCGCCUCAUGCCGCCGCCCCGCCGUCCAUCGCCGCCGCCGUGUGCCCUGCACCGGUUCCCCGGUACUAAGCGGGGGAAGCGGAGCCGGAGACCCCCGGCAGCCCCCGUCGGGCGCUGCCGCAACCGGAUCCGGGACGGACCGGACGGGCCGGGGCUGCACCGGGCCCCCUGCCGGCCCUGUCGCGCGCCGCUCCGCCCCCGGAGCGUUAACGGCGGCCCCGGUGCGACAG